rnacentral:rRNA from 1 species
UGGGGAAUCUUGGACAAUGGGCGCAAGCCUGAUCCAGCGACGCCGCGUGGGUGAUGAAGGCCUUCGGGUUGUAAAGCCCUUUCACCGGGGACGAUGAUGACGGUACCCGGCGAAGAAGCACCGGCUAACUCCGUGCCAGCAGCCGCGGUAAGACGGAGGGUGCUAGCGUUGUUCGGAAUCACUGGGCGUAAAGGGCGCGUAGGCGGCGAUGGCAGUCGGGUGUGAAAGCCCGGAGCUCAACUCCGGAAUUGCACUCGAGACGCCAUGGCUGGAGGUCGGAAGAGGAGGGUGGAAUACCCAGUGUAGAGGUGAAAUUCGUAGAUAUUGGGUGGAACACCGGUGGCGAAAGCGGCUCUCUGGUCCGAACCUGACGCUGAGGCGCGAAAGCGUGGGGAGCAAACAGGAUUAGAUACCCCCGUAGUCC